ensembl:misc_RNA Metazoa_SRP Metazoan signal recognition particle RNA
GCUGGGCGUGGUGGCGUAUGCCUGUAAUCCCAGCCACUGGGGAGGCUGAGGUGGGAGAAUCGCUUGAACCAGGGAGUCGGAGGUUGCAGUGAGCCAAGAUCUCACCACUGCACUCCAGCCUGGUGAAAGAGCGAGAUUCCAUCUCAA